UACACUUUUUCUUCUCUUGGGAAUACCCCCACUUACUCUUAUCUAUCAAUCUCAUACUUGAAAUUUAGCAAAUGAAUCACUUUCUUCUUGAAGCUUUCCCAGAUGCUCAAUUCUAUAAUUGUACUUAGUACAAGGUAUUGCAGUUAUUCUAGUCUACACAUCUGCCUCUCCUAGAGACUAUAAAUACCUUUCUGAGACUGGAUCUUAUCUGACCACAUGACAAGCAUAAGAGAGUGCUUAAAAAUAAGAAUCCUGGAAUGCUGAGUUUAAAUUCAGACUUCUGUGAAUUAGUUCUGUCAUCUCAGUUCUGGAAGCUGAGAUGUUCAAGAUCAAGAUGCUGGCCAAUCUGGUUCCUGAGGUUCAGUUUUAGAGCCACGUGUGAUCUGUGACUCCUCUACGCAGUCUACCGUUUGGUCAUGGGCAGUAGUUUGGAUCUCUUCUUUUCCAGGAAAUUCACCUGUAAAACCCAGCCACCAUGUUGUAAGGGAGCCCAGGUAACAUGGAGGUGCUACUUAGAGGUGUUCUAGCUAAUAGGCUCAGGUAGGGCCCCAGGCAGGAGUCGGCAUCAAUCUCCAGAAACGUGGAUGCUUUCGAGCAGCCUCAGCUGACACUGAAUGGAACAGAGAUGGGCUGUCCCCACGGAGUGCUGAGAAAUCACACAUUCAAAAGCAAAUCUCUUGUAGGUCAUACACCGAGUGUUCACUUUGCCGGACACCCUUCCGGGUGUUGAGGAUGUGGUAGUGAACUAAACCUAAUUCUUUCCCUCAUGGAGCUUCCUCAGUAGCUGGGAGAGACAGACACUGGAUAAAUACAUACGGAAAACAGAAUUUCAGCGGCUGGUAAGAGCAAUAGAGAAACGCCAAGCAGGGAAGGGAAUGGGGCUCCUCUUGGGGACUGCUUCAGUUCUUCGUGGUCCUUGCUUUGACCCCAACUUCUGCCACAGAGACCAGUCCUGGCAGACUCUGGCCAGCUGUGCCAAAGCUGCACAGAA